UUGCCUGUGGCAGCAGGAGCUUGGCCCUCUCCAGCUUUCUUUCUAGCUCCUUUACAUUGAGCUGGAUCUCCGACUUUUCAGAUUCUACAAGUCGAAGUUUCUCUUGUAGUUUGACAUUUUUCUCCUUCAGCUCCUCAUCGAUUAUGCUAUGGCCAGAGACAGUAGAGAAAGGAAUGAACGAAGAACAGAAAGGAACGCUUUGGUGACCAACCCUCUGCUUUCACCCCACAACCACAGAACCGUGGCAUCGGAUGGGACCCCAGGAAUUAAAAGUCCCAGGUGGCAGGCCAGAGAGAAGAUAUGAGUUGCCUGAGGCUACCCCAAAGAGGAAGACAGAGCUCUUACCAGGGGGAGGCAGAGAUGGCACAGCAAGGGACAUGCCGCCAGAAUGGCACCACUGCCCCAGGACAGGCCCACCCAUGGGACCAGCAGAUGGAGAGGAUUCAAACCCAGAAUUCUUAACCAGUGCCUGGGAGAUCUUCCACAAUCUUAACAAUUACCCUCCACCACCCCUUGGGCCCUCUGUCCCCAGGAGCCUGGCCAGCCAAGACUCACAUCCUCAGACUCAAAGGAAACUGAUGCUUCAGAAAGAUACCCCGUAUUUAUCCUGUGGCACUCAAAGUACCCCAGGUGGAGAUGAGAUGAGGAAUAUUCAAGCUGUCAAGUUCAGUUUCCCAAGAUCUGUUCCACAGAAGAUAAGCAGAUCUCACUCCAGAAACCACUGACUGAGGGGCACUCUGGUCCCAGAACAAUGCAGAAUUCAAAUCUGAGGUGGGGAACUCAGAAACAAUGUUCGAGUCUCUCUGGAGAGUAGAAGCCUGGGAGAAAACCAAACCCAACCCGUUC
rnacentral:lncRNA from 1 species